rnacentral:rRNA from 1 species
GUUACUCGGAUUUACUGGGCGUAAAGGGUCCGUAGGCGGUUCUUUAAGUUAGAUGUGAAAGCUUGAAGCUUAAACUUCAAAAUUGCAAUCUAAAAACUGGAGAACUAGGUUCUUGGAGAGGUUGAUGGAAUUACCGGGUGUAGCGGUGAAAUGCGUAGAUAUCGGUAGGAACACCAGUGGCGAAAGCGAUCAACUGGCCAAGUAACGACGCUGAGGGACGAAAGCGUGGGUAGCAAACAGGAUUAGAUACCCUGGUAGUCCAACGCCCUAAACGAUGAAUACUAGAUGUAGGAUUUAAUUCUGUAUCGUAGCUAACGCAUUAAGUAUUCCGCCUGGGGAGUACGGUCGCAAGGCUGAAACUCAAAGGAAUUGGCGGGGACUCGCACAAGCGGUGGAGCAUGUGGUUUAAUUCGAUGCUAAGCGAAGAACCUUACCAGGGCUUGACAUGUAAGCAUAAGCUUGCGUGAAAGCGUGGAGUGAAUUUGGGCUUGCCCAAAUUGGUUUACACAGGUGCUGCAUGGCU